GCCUGGGUGGCUCAGUUGGUUGAGCGUCUGACUUCAGCUCAGGUCGUAUCUCGUAGUUCUUGAGUUCGAGCCCCGCACUGGGCU
rnacentral:tRNA from 1 species